rnacentral:rRNA from 1 species
GGAUCAUUACUAGAGCAAAGGAUAGACAGCGCCCGCGGAGCUCGCUCCCGGGGCCACCCUACUCCGGUAGGGUUUAGAGUCGUCGGGCCUCUCGGAGAAGCUCGGUCCUGAACUCCACCCUUGAAUAAACUACCUUUGUUGCUUUGGCGGGCCGCCUCGUGCCAGCGGCUUCGGCUGUUGAGUGCCCGCCAGAGGACCACAACUCUUGUUUUUAGUGAUGUCUGAGUACUAUAUAAUAGUUAAAACUUUCAACAACGGAUCUCUUGGUUCUGGCAUCGAUGAAGAACGCAGCGAAAUGCGAUAAGUAAUGUGAAUUGCAGAAUUCAGUGAAUCAUCGAAUCUUUGAACGCACAUUGCGCCCUCUGGUAUUCCGGGGGGCAUGCCUGUUCGAGCGUCAUUAUAACCACUCAAGCUCUCGCUUGGUAUUGGGGUUCGCGGUUUCGCGGCUCCUAAAAUCAGUGGCGGUGCCUAUCGGCUCUACGCGUAGUAAUACUCCUCGCGAUUGAGUCCGGUAGGUCUACUUGCCAGCAACCCCUAAUUUUUUAAGGUUGACCUCGGAUCAGGUAGGGAUACCCGCUGAACUUAAGCAUAUCAAUAAGCGGAGGAAAAGAAACCAACAGGGAUUACCUCAGUAACGGCGAGUGAAGCGGUAACAGCUCAAAUUUGAAAGCUGGCUCUUUUAGGGUCCGCGUUGUAAUUUGUAGAAGAUGCUUCGGGUGUGGCCCCGGUCUAAGUUCCUUGUAC